rnacentral:misc_RNA from 1 species
AUCCAUGUCUGAUGUUUCAAUUAAAUUUGUUCCUGCAUCCUCAUAGGUGUCUGCGUAAGGUAAGUGAUUCUUGGAACAUAUUUAUCGAAUUUUCAUGGAGCAGAAAAUGUCGAAGCAGAAAAAGGAAAAAGUUUUCAGCAGAUGAUCAUAACUCUAUGGGAGAGUUAACACUUGUGUCAAGUUGUAUUAGUGGAGAUAAUUUACCACCUGACUCCAAACGCAAGAAAGCCUACGGAUGUCACAAUGAGGACUAUGUAACUCAGAUGUCACCGUUUGAAUGUGCAAGGAACUGCCUUUUUCAACUUAAAGCAUCUAUUGAAAGCCUUUACCAAAAGAACCUGUUUCCUUAUAAUCCACUGGUGCUACUACGUCGGUAUGUAUGUUUGACACACUUGGGGUUUUCAUUAGUUUAUAUUGUAUUCUGGAGAUUGCAUCACACUCUGAUACUCCAUAAUAUAUUUAUUAUUUCUA